rnacentral:rRNA from 1 species
UCCAGACUCCUACGGGAGGCAGCAGUGAGGAAUAUUGGUCAAUGGGCGCGAGCCUGAACCAGCCAAGUCGCGUGAGGGAGGACGGCCCUACGGGUUGUAAACCUCUUUUGCCGGGGAGCAACGGGCGUCACGUGUGGCGCCACUGAGAGUACCCGGAGAAAAAGCAUCGGCUAACUCCGUGCCGGCAGCCGCGGUAAUACGGAGGAUGCGAGCGUUAUCCGGAUUUAUUGGGUUUAAAGGGUGCGUAGGCGGGCAUUUAAGCCGGCGGUCAAAUGUCGGGGCUCAACCCCGGCCUGCCGUCGGAACUGGGUGCCUUGAGUGGGCGAGAAGUAUGCGGAAUGCGUGGUGUAGCGGUGAAAUGCAUAGAUAUCACGCAGAACCCCGAUUGCGAAGGCAGCAUACCGGCGCCCUACUGACGCUGAGGCACGAAAGUGCGGGUAUCGAACAGGAUUAGAUACCCGGGUAC